UACGGAGGGUGCAAACGUUGCUCGGAAUCAUUGGGCGUAAAGCGCACGUAGGCGGCCGCUUAAGUCGGAUGUGAAAGCCCCGGGCUCAACCCGGGAAGUGCAUACGAAACUGGUCGGCUUGAAUAUGGAAGAGGGUCGCGGAAUUCCCGGUGUAGAGGUGAAAUUCGUAGAUAUCGGGAGGAACACCAGUGGCGAAGGCGGCGACCUGGGCCAAUAUUGACGCUGAGGUGCGAAAGCGUGGGGAGCAAACAGG
rnacentral:rRNA from 1 species